AUUCAUCAUGGACAGAAGGGUACAAAGAGAAAAUAUGUGCUGCAUGACGUCGGGAAGGACAUCUGGCCAAUAAACUCUAAGCUUCGUCUAGUCGUCCCAACUCUACCCUGAAUUAAGGCACUUUUACUUUUCAGAGGAGUUCCUGUUCUCCCAUGCCAUAGGCUGCCUCUUGGUAAUGGCAAAGGGCAACUUUCUACAUGAAGACACCUGGAAUAGCCUUCCGGCAGGAUAGUAAGCCCCAUGCCCAUGUUGGUGUGGUUUUAUCAGUCUUGCGGGAUAAAACAGAUAGGAAUCAUCGCUAGAUGAGCUAAUUCUACAUUAUUGUAAAUCUACACUGACAGAAUCUUGCAAGUCUCAAAGUAUAAUUUCCCCCACCAUCUCCUUUACCGUCUGAGAAGCUAGGCAAGGUCUCUUCUGAUUUUCUUGCUCAUCUCAUUAUGCAGUUGUGGGCUGUGCUGUAACUUAUCUGAUUGCUCCCUUAGCAUUGUCUCCUCACCCAAUCUCCCAAGGUCUUUCCCAUAUACCAGGGAGAGGCAACCUUGGCUCUUUUCUGACUCGUGGACUUCAACUCCCAGAAUUCCUGAGCCAGCCAUGCUGAGGGGAAAGGGAGAGGUUUCCAAGCUGAGCCAUGCUGGCUCAGGAAUUCUGGGAGCUGAAGUCCACGAGUCAUAAAAGAGCCAAGGUUGCCUACCCCUGCCAUAUACCAUUACAGAGUUGCAAGACUUUUGUAACACCACCAUUCUAUGCUGAUUUUCUCCACUCUCACUCUUGUUUCUGAAAAGCUAACACUUAAAAAAGCAUCAUAUACAACAUAGCAAUUGCAAUAAAAACCACAAUAGCAACAUUUAAACGAUGGUGCCAAGCUUUUCAAAAAGACAUUAUACAGCUCUACAGCAGAAUUCACUCCAAUACCAGAGGGAAUAAAUCAGUUUUCCAAAUGUUCCAGAACAUGGCUGACACUGUCUUUUAAUACAUUGUUUUUACCUGGUUUAUUUUAAAAGGUUUUUAGAAUUUGUAAAUCGCUUUGGGAUGCUCUGUAAUUACAGGUAGUCCUCGGCUUACAACAGUUUGUUUAGUGAACGUUCAAAGUUAGAGCAGCACUGAAAAAGUGACUUAAGACUGUUUUUCAGAAUACGACUGAUCCCCACAGUUGCACGAUCAAAAUUCAGAUGCUUGGCAACUGACUCAUUUUUAUGAUGGUUUCAGUGUCUAGGGGUCAUGUGAUCCCUUUUUAUAACCUGACAGGCAAAGUCAAUAGGGGAGCCAGAUUCA